AAGUCGUAACAAGGUUUCCGUAGGUGAACCUGCGGAAGGAUCAUUAACACGUAUCCAACGUUAAAACAACCCUGUGAACUUUUAGUGUGCUCGUACGCUUUGUUAGAAAUAGCCGAAGGUUUUCGAUUCAGGAUCUGCAGAGAGUGUGCUUGGAGCGCGAGGUAAGUGGCCUGGCAUCCCCAAGUGUCAGGCGCAGUCACGAUCGCUGGAGCCCACACGGCCGGCGACCGGGUCACUGGGCUCUGCCCCCCUAUCACCCCCGACUGCCCGCACGAAGGGACCGACGCCCACGCCCAGUAAGCGAAAACGAACAACUGUUAACAAUGGAUAUCUUGGUUCUC
rnacentral:misc_RNA from 1 species